AUAAGUACACCAUAUAACAAAUUAAGAUUAAAAACCAUGUAAUUCUAUUAGUUGGUGCAGAAAAAGCAUUUAACCAAAUUCAACACUCAUUUAUAUUAAAGACACUCAACCUAUUAAGAAUAGAGGGGAACUACUUCAAUUUAAUAAUGAACAACAAUAAAACAUCUAUAGCUAAAAUUGUACUUAAUGGUAAAUGACUUAAUGCUUUCCCCUAAGAUUGGGAGCAAGGCAAUGAUGUUCACUUUCUCUGCUCUUAUUCCACAUAGUACUGGAGGUUUUAGCUAUUGCAGUUGAGGCAUACAGAUUAGAAAGGGAGAAAUAAAAAUGUCUCUGUUUGUAGAUAUCAUGAUUAUCUACAUAGAAAAUAUAUUCCCCCUUAAAUGUAUACAAAGAAAAAAAGCACUGUAAAAUACUAUAAAAUGUUAUCGUGACACAUAAACUUUCAGAAUCAUUCAAUAAUAAGCAACAAUAAAAUAAAAUAAACCUUUAAAACUUAAUCAGCCAAUCUUGAGGGUCCUCUCUUUGGCUCUUCUCAUUUGCUUGCUCUGAUAAAUCAAGUUGAUAUGAUAUGAGUUGCUUCAUGGAGAGGGCAGAAGGUAUAGGACUGAAUCCUGCCAUAAAAUUAUGUAAAGGAGCUUGGAUACAGACCCUUCCCUACUGGAGCCUUGAGAUGAGACCAUAGCUCCAGCCAACUCCAUGACUGCAGCCCUCUGACAGAUCCUAAGUCAAAAGAUCCUGCUGAACCACAUCCAUACACUUGACCUACACAAGCCAUGAGAUAGUAAAUGUUGUGGGUUCAAGUCACCACAUUUUGGGAUGAUUUGUUAUGCAGCGAUAGAUAUCUAAUACAAUCUCUAUCUUUAUAUUAUUCAGGAAGUCAUUAAAGAAGCAACCCAUGGCAAAACUAGUUAUUUUCUUAAAACAGUAGGAAGAAGAAAAGCUUUUUGAAUGAAUCACUUCUCAUCUUCUCCGAAGUUGGAAGCAUCAAGAAUCUAAAUAAGCAUUUAUGAUGGCUGGCAUGAAUAUGCGGAAGAUAGAAUGGGAGUCCUAGUUGACCUUCAUAUAAUUUUUAGAAGAUGGAGCACUUCAACUUCUUCCACUCAUGAAAAGAGAGGUGACAGGUGAAGACAGAACAAGAAAACAAACCAAGAAUUUCCCCUCACCAGCCACCAGCUCUGCCAGCAACUUGAUCUUAGACUUCCCAGCCUCCGUAACGUCUUCCUCCUAAAAACCUGUAACCUCAAUCUAAUCAUGAGAAAAGACAUCAGGCAAAUCCCAACUGAGGGAGAUUUUACAUAGUACCUGAGCAGUACUCCUCAAAACUGUCAAGGUCAUCAAAAACAAAGAAGUAUGAAAAACUGUCACAGCCAAGAGGAACUUAAGGAAACAUAAUAAUUAAAGCCUCUGCUUAUAAUCUGUCAUGGAUUGGAAAACUAGAAAAAACAGUUUACAGAGUAUAACAAACUUUGGAGGAGUUAAUCGACUCUAAGUAAAAGAGUAUCUAGCACGGCUGUGGAACAAAGGAGAGACUCACAAACUGUUGAAAGAAUAAAUGAAUGAAUGAAUUCUGUUCAUGAGCUUUAAUAAAACAGCUCUGAGUAGUAACAGUGGAUCAAAUUUAGGCUUCUUGAUGCAGGCAUGGUGUAGAUUACUACUUCUGUAUUGUCCCAGGAGCUCAGCACAUUCCUGCAGAGAUGAUAGGAGCUCAUCUGAUACUUGUCAGCUUUGAAUAAACUCCAGUCCCCAAGAGAGAGAAUGAGAAUCACCGGAAUACGAAACUUCCCUGUUGGACUUCCCAACAUUCUUGAAUGCACCAAGAUAGCCUCUUGCUGUGAGAUUAAUAAAUGAAUAAAUGCCUCCAUAUUUUUCAAA
rnacentral:lncRNA from 1 species